UGAUUUACAGCUUGGAGGAAGACUACACAUUAAAGGCCUCGAGAAUGUCCUGAGUAAAUGCGAUGCUAGAGAGGCUAAUUUGAUGAGUCAGAAAGAGCUGAGUUGCCUAUAUUUGUCUUGGAAUUCUGAUUCUAAUUCAAUAUGUAUUAAUCCUGAAAGAGUCCCCCUAAUCUCAAGAAUUUCGGAAUUCAAGCUUACAGGGGAUUGCAAUUUCCUAGUUGGAUGGCAAAUACUAACAUCUUUUCAAGCUUAGUUACUGUUAUACUCCUUGACCUUGAUUUCAGAAACUGUGAGCAGAUUCCUCCACUUGGUAAAUUACCACAUUUAACGAGUCUUUAUGUACGGGGAAUGAAAGAUGUGAAGUACAUCGAUGAAGACUCAUAUGAUGAAGAAACUAAAUUUGUUAGGGUUGCCAAAGUUAGAGAGGAAUGUAAGGGACGAAGGAGUUGAGAUGCUCCCACUUGUUUCGGAAUUAAGGAUUGAAGUUGCCACUCCUUCAAUCUCUUUCAUUCCAUUUGUUAGAUUGGCCAUACAUUGCUCACGUCUCUCACAUCCGAUCUAUUCAAAUGUAGAUGGAACACGAUGAAGAUUAAUACUCGUUCUCGAUCUCUAAAAUUUGAGUUUGACCAAAUUGUUGAAGAUCUCUGAAUCAGAAGUGAACAUGUAGAUGUAGCAAGCAACGAAGCAAAGUAGAUUAGCAUCACAACCGUCUGAGGUUGCAGCGUAGGCAUGAGUCCAUGCAAUCACACUUGAAGAAAGUAGUUUCCGCUUCUAUCAAGAUUCCCAACUUGCUUGAACUUUCAUAUUCAAGUUCACAUAUUUGAAGAAGUGUUUUGCUGUUAGUUUUGCAUUGAAGUACCACCUUCUCAUAUUCUGCCCCUCAAGCAAAGUGGCUCUGGUGUGUGUUUUCCAUUGACCUUAUUAGACAACAUACUACGUUGGAACUUUAGCUAAUUUCAUAUUCGUUUAACUAAUACUCAUGAAAUAAAGAAUACAUUAUAUUUUGUAAUCAUUUGUAGUGAAUAUUGUCUUUGGUAGUAUACUAAAUUGAGGUAAUAGGAAGGAAGGGAAAUGCGGGAAUGUAAAGAAUUAGGCUUAGAUGGCACAACAAGAAGAGAUAAAAUGGCAAAUAGCUUUGAGGGGUCACUUUGUUCUCUCUUUUAAUUUAUAAAAAAUAAUAAAUAGAUAUGAUCUGAUAGCUCCAAAGAAUUUGUCUUUUCUGUUAAUUUGAGACUGAUGAGAAUGGUCAUGGGGGCCAGGACUUAUGGAGGUUUGGAGUUGGAAA